CUACGGAGGGUGCGAGCGUUGUUCGGAAUUAUUGGGCGUAAAGAGCAUGUAGGCGGUCUGUUAAGUCUGGUGUGAAAGCCCGGGGCUCAACCCCGGAAGUGCAUUGGAUACUGGCAGACUUGAGUAUGAGAGAGGAAAGCGGAAUUCCGAGUGUAGGAGUGAAAUCCGUAGAUAUUCGGAGGAACACCAGUGGCGAAGGCGGCUUUCUGGACCAAUACUGACGCUGAGAUGCGAAAGCGUGGGGAGCGAACAGAAUUAGAUACCCUAGUAGUCC
rnacentral:rRNA from 1 species